rnacentral:rRNA from 1 species
UACAGAGGGUGCAAGCGUUAAUCGGAAUUACUGGGCGUAAAGCGCGCGUAGGUGGUUUGUUAAGUCGGAUGUGAAAUCCCUCGGCUCAACCGAGGAACUGCCUCCGAUACUGGCGGGCUGGAAUCCGGGAGAGGGAUGUGGAAUUCCAGGUGUAGCGGUGAAAUGCGUAGAUAUCUGGAGGAACACCGGUGGCGAAGGCGGCAUCCUGGACCGGUAUUGACGCUGAGGCGCGAAAGCUAGGGGAGCAAACGGG